rnacentral:misc_RNA from 1 species
GAUGAAGAACGUAGCGAAAUGCGAUAAGUAAUGUGAAUUGCAGAAUUCAGUGAAUCAUCGAAUCUUUGAACGCACAUUGCGCCCGGCAGUACUCUGCCGGGCAUGCCUGUUCGAGCGUCAUUUCAACCCUCAAGCCCUGCUUGGUGUUGGGGUCGCACGGCCGCCGUGGGCCCUGAAAGGAAGUGGCGGGCUCGCUACAACUCCGAGCGUAGUAAUUCUGUUUCUCGCUUAGGGCGUUGGGCGGCGCUCCAGCCGUUAAAGUACCCAUCUUUAACUCAAGGUUGACCUCGGAUCAGGUAGGAAUACCCGCUGAACUUAAGCAUAUCAAUAAGCGGAGGA